rnacentral:rRNA from 1 species
UACGUAGGGUGCGAGCGUUAAUCGGAAUUACUGGGCGUAAAGCGUGCGUAGGCGGUUCGUCAAGUCUGAUGUGAAAGCCCCGGGCUCAACCUGGGAACUGCAUUGGAAACUAGCGAGCUUGAGUGUGGCAGAGGGGGGUGGAAUUCCACGUGUAGCAGUGAAAUGCGUAGAGAUGUGGAGGAACACCGAUGGCGAACGGCAGCCCCCCUGGGCUAACACUGACGCUCAUGCACGAAAGCGUGGGGAGCGAACAGG